rnacentral:rRNA from 1 species
ACUCAAAUGAAUUGACGGGGGCCCGCACAAGCGGUGGAGCAUGUGGUUUAAUUCGAUGCAACGCGAAGAACCUUACCUACUUUUGAAUCCACGGAACCUGUCAGAGAUGAUGGGGUGCCUUCGGGAACCGUGAGACAGGUGCUGCAUGGCUGUCGUCAGCUCGUGUCGUGAGAUGUUGGGUUAAGUCCCGUAACGAGCGCAACCCUUGUCCUUAGUUACCAACGAGUCGAGUCGGGGACUUUAAGGAGACUGCCGGUGAUAAACCGGAGGAAGGCGGGGAUGACGUCAAGUCCUCAUGGCCCGUACAAGUAGGGCUACACACGUGCUACAAUGGCCGGUACAGAGGGUCGCCAACCCGCGAGGGGGAGCCAAUCUCAGAAAGCCGGUCGUAGUCCGGAUUGGAGUCUGCAACUCGACUCCAUGAAGUUGGAAUCGCUAGUAAUCGCAGAUCAGAAUGCUGCGGUGAAUACGUUCCCGGGCCUUGUACACACCGCCCGU